GGCCUGGUCGGCGCGCUCCUUCCGGGCUCAGACGCCCUCCCCUCGCCCCUCCGCCUCGCCGUUGCCAGGGGCGGGGUCGCCGCUCGGCCCGCUAUAGUCCUCGGCCUUCCAGGCGAAGGGCAAGAGCGAGCCCUGGCGGACCGUGCGUAGGGGUGCAGAGACCUGGACGCGGCCUGCGAUCUCCUUCCCCGCCCCGGCGUUCUCCGCCCACCCGGGGUCCUUCCCGCCAAAACCUCUCACCUACAAGUACAGCGCGCCCUAAAUUUGGCACCGGCAAAGAACUGUGGCUGAGCAAUGCGUUGCUCACAGGCUCCUUUCUUUGUGUUUUUUUCUCUUCUCGUUGCUAUAUAUAACAAAACCCUCCACGUUUUGAAGUCUCCGAGGAGUCAUUCUGACAGCAGUGCGGUCGCUGAUAGACUCACAGAAUGUCAAUGUCAGCGCUGAAGAGAUCUUGGAGAUCAUUUAAUCCAGAGAUUUGGAGCCUCAUGUGAACUUCGGAGUCCGGAACCCCCUAAAACACAGGCCAGUUUUUGCUUAUGUGAGCAUGUCUCUGGAGAGAUGGACCCGUAGCUUCUGUCAGAUUCCCAAACGUGUUGGUGACCCUGAAAACGGUUAAAAAUAUUUCUCUAAUCCAAUUUUUUCCCCCAAAGGACGAAGCAGACCGCAAGGAAUAAAGGGAAUUGCCAAGGUCACACAGGCAAUGGUAGAGUGCAAGAUGGCUUUUGGGCCCUCCACUGCUCACUGUGCUUCUGCUUUUCACUCUCCCCAAGCAAUACCUUAUUCUACCAUGAGAUAACCAAACAACAGAUGAAGGGGAAGACUCAAGUUAAUAAAAAAGAAAGGCUAGAAGUAGAAUAUCACCAUUUUGCAGUCUUCAAAGAGAUAAUGACCUCUUUCAAAGAAGCAAUGAUCAUCAGUGACUAAGAACAGCAGAAAAAGAAACAAUUGGAUAUCAUGGACCUCCUGCUAGACACCACCACAGUGCAGUGGUCUUGUGGGGUGUUGGGAGCAGUUCACAAGACUGCUCUUACUUCUGGCAUCAGCUGCAAGUUUGGGGAUUCUCAAAACCACACAAUUUUGAUAAUUUGCUAGAAGGACUUGAAAUCACUAAAAGUUGUUAUCCUAAUGGUUAUGGUUUAUCACAACUAAAGGAUACAGAUUAAAGGUAGUCCAGGAAAAAAAUCAUGUAAGACAAAGUCUAGAAAAGUUCCAUAUAUGGAUGUUCCAGUUAUCUUCUCCCUGUGGAGUUGUAUGCACCAUUACUUUCCCAUUAUCAGUGUAUGACCAUAUGCACAGAUUAUUGCCAAGCACCUGAGCCUUCCUGUCCAGAUAUUUAUUUGGUUGGCUGCCCACAUGACUUCUCCAUCUCCAGCCCCUCCAGAACUGAUUGCUGAGUAUGUGUGACCCAAACCUCCCACUCUGUAUCACAUCAUUACACUAUCCAUUUUAACCAAGGCCUGCACACAAACAAAACCACUCCUAUCAUGAAACUCCAAGGGUUUAGAAAUUACACCCCCAAAUAGAGGGAAAAGGCCAGACCCCUUUUUGGACAAGAUUAUAGUCUUUUCUACACAUCUUGCAAAACAAACAAACAAAAAAGAUUGAGCCUGAAUCUGAUUAAGCCUUUAGAUUCAACUAACAAUUUACAGGAAACACAGGGAUAAAGAACCUUUUAAGUGAUACCAUAGCAAAUUCAGGCCAAUUGACCUGAUAUCUUUAACAAAAAGUUGCAAGAGGAAAAAGGGAACGGAAGAGAAACCUAUAAAUUAAAAUAGAAUUAAAAUACAUAUUGCUUAGUUGCAAUGUAUUGUACCAUAUUUGGAUCCUGAUUUAAAUAAUGAAGUUGAAAGUUCUCAGAAUUAGGGUAAUGUGAACUCUGGUUGAAUAUUUUAUGAUGUUAAGGCAUUAAUUUUUGCAUUAGAUAAUUGUUAUGAUCAUGUUUAAAGAUCACAAAAAGAAUCUCUAUCUUUUAGAGAUUCAUACUGAAAUAUUUACAGAUGAAAUGACAUAAUGUGUGGGAUUUGCUUCAAAAUAACCUGGGGAUGAGUUGGUAGUAGGUGGGGUUUUGGAUGGAAUGAGACUGGCCAUGUGCUGUAAGAAAACAAAAAAAAAUGAGUUGUAUGUUAGUUCACAUGUUCAUGCUUUCCAUUUUGAAAAAUGUAACAUGUAUAUGUGAUAGAGCCUGUGGGACUCAGGAGGCCUUCACUGAGCCUUGCUUUUCUGCUAAGGUACUUGUGUACAAUAGACUGUUCUUAUUUGUUCACCUCUUCAUUUUCUCUGGGCCUUUGAGGGAGCAGAUGUUGAUUAUUUCAGUUGAAAGCUGGAACUAGUAUGCAUAGUGGUUGAGGCUAUACAGUUGUUGC